GAGGAAUAUUGGUCACUGGGCGCGAGCCUGAACCAGCCAAGUAGCGUGAAGGAUGACUGCCCUAUGGGUUGUAAACUUCUUUUAUAAGGGAAUAAAGUGAGGCACGUGUGCCUUAUUGUAUGUACCUUAGGAAUAAGCAUCGGCUAACUCCGUGCCAGCAGCCGCGGUAAUACGGAGGGUGCAAGCGUUAAUCGGAAUCACUGGGCGUAAAGCGCGCGUAGGCGGCUUUUUAAGUCGGACGUGAAAGCCCUCGGCUCAACCGGGGAAUUGCGUUCGAAACUGGGAGGCUUGAGUGCAGUAAAGGUGGGCGGAAUUCGUGGUGUAGCGGUGAAAUGCUUAGAUAUCACGAAGAACUCCAAUUGCGAAGGCAGCUCACUGGAGUGUAACUGACGCUGAUGCUCGAAAGUGUGGGUAUCAAACA
rnacentral:rRNA from 1 species